UACGUAGGGGGCUAGCGUUGUCCGGAAUCAUUGGGCGUAAAGAGCUUGUAGGCGGUCUGUCGCGUCUGCUGUGAAAAUCCGGGGCUCAACCCCGGACUUGCAGUGGGUACGGGCAGACUAGAGUGUGGUAGGGGAGACUGGAAUUCCUGGUGUAGCGGUGAAAUGCGCAGAUAUCAGGAGGAACACCGAUGGCGAAGGCAGGUCUCUGGGCCACUACUGACGCUGAGGAGCGAAAGCGUGGGGAGCGAACAGG
rnacentral:rRNA from 1 species